GGGGGAGCUACAUAGAGUUUGAUCCUGGAUCGAGCUCUGGUAUUGAUUGGUGCUUGCAUCAUGAUUUACAUUUGAGUGAGUGGCGAACUGGUGAGUAACACGUGGGAAACCUGCCCAGAAGCGGGGGAUAACACCUGGAAACAGAUGCUAAUACCGCAUAACAACUUGGACCGCAUGGUCCGAGCUUGAAAGAUGGCUUCGGCUAUCACUUUUGGAUGGUCCCGCGGCGUAUUAGCUAGAUGGUGGGGUAACGGCUCACCAUGGCAAUGAUACGUAGCCGACCUGAGAGGGUAAUCGGCCACAUUGGGACUGAGACACGGCCCAAACUCCUACGGGAGGCAGCAGUAGGGAAUCUUCCACAAUGGACGAAAGUCUGAUGGAGCAACGCCGCGUGAGUGAAGAAGGGUUUCGGCUCGUAAAACUCUGUUGUUAAAGAAGAACAUAUCUGAGAGUAACUGUUCAGGUAUUGACGGUAUUUAACCAGAAAGCCACGGCUAACUACGUGCCAGCAGCCGCGGUAAUACGUAGGUGGCAAGCGUUGUCCGGAUUUAUUGGGCGUAAAGCGAGCGCAGGCGGUUUUUUAAGUCUGAUGUGAAAGCCUUCGGCUCAACCGAAGAAGUGCAUCGGAAACUGGGAAACUUGAGUGCAGAAGAGGACAGUGGAACUCCAUGUGUAGCGGUGAAAUGCGUAGAUAUAUGGAAGAACACCAGUGGCGAAGGCGGCUGUCUGGUCUGUAACUGACGCUGAGGCUCGAAAGUAUGGGUAGCAAACAGGGAUUAGAUACCCUGGUAGUCCAUACCGUAAACGAUGAAUGCUAAGUGUUGGAGGGUUUCCGCCCUUCAGUGCUGCAGGCUAACGCAUUAAGCAUUCCGCCUGGGGGAGUACGGGCCGCAAGGCUGAAACUCAAAGGGAAUUGACGGGGGGCCCGCACAAGCGGUGGAGCAUGGUGGGUUUAAUUCGGAAGCUACGCGGAGGGACGCUUACCAGGUCGUUGACAUACUAUGCCAAGUCUAAGGAGAUUAGACGUUCCCUUCGGGGGGACAUGGAUACAGGUGGUGCAUGGUUGGUCGUCAGCUCGUGUCGUGAGAUGUUGGGUAAGUCCCGCCACGAAGCGCAACCCUUAUUAAUUCAGUUGCCAGCAUUAAGCUGGCCACUCUGGGUGAAACUGCCGUGGACAGACCGGAGAG
rnacentral:rRNA from 1 species